UUGCCUAUGAUGAAAAUCUAUUAUAAAGAACACCAUCUUUCGGGACUGAAUGGCCCUUAAGGCCUUGUUGUCAAUUCUGCAAUUCUGAGGCUC